rnacentral:rRNA from 1 species
UACGAGGGGUGCUAGCGUUGUUCGGAUUUAUUGGGCGUAAAGGGUACGUAGACGGCGUAUUAAGUUAGUUGUAAAAUCUCUCGGCCUAACCGAGAACCUGCGAUUAAAACUGGUAUGCUAGAGGGUGAGAGAGAGGAGUGGAAUUCUCGGAGUAGCGGUAAAAUGCGUAGAUAUCGAGAGGAACACCGAUGGCGAAGGCAGCUCCUUGGCUCAUUCCUGACGUUGAGGUACGAAAGCGUGGGUAGCAAACAGG